rnacentral:rRNA from 1 species
UAAUUUAAGAUUAAGUAUUUAUUUUUCCCGAAUUUAAAAGAGCUAAUUUCAUAUAGAUAUUAUUGUGGCAAAAAUAUUUAGAAUAAGAAAUUAGUAGUGAAAUGUUAUUCGUUUUUAAAGUUAUCUGGUUUUUUUAGAAAUAAAUUUAAUUUAAUUAACUUUUUUCAAAAUACUAAUUUUUUAGUUUUUUGUAAUAGUUAUUAGAUUGUUUUGGGGAUGAGCUUGGAACAAAAUGUUUAUAAGGAAUUAAUUUAGGAGAUUGUAAAUAGGAUUAGAAGUUUCCAUUUUUAGGAUGUUAUAAUUUUCAUUAUUAGAAUUAAUAUUUUUAUUUUUUUUAAAUUUUUAUAAAAAUUAAUUAAUAAAUUAAAGAUUAUUUGCAAUAAUGAUGAAAUAAGUAUAUUUUAGGUGUGAUUAGAAAUAAGUUUUUAAGGUUAAUUAAAGGAAUUCGGCAAAAGGUUUUCUGCCUGUUUAUUAAAAACAUGUCCUUUUGAUUUUUAUUUGAGGUCUGGCCUGCUCACUGAAUAUUAAAGAGCUGCGGUAUUUU